AUUGAACGCUGGCGGCAGGCCUAACACAUGCAAGUCGAACGGAUGAAGGGAGCUUGCUCCUGGUUUCAGCGGCGGACGGGUGAGUAAUGCCUAUGAAUCUGCCUGGUCGUGGUGGAUGACGUCCAGUAACGGGCGCUGAUACCACAUACGUCUUACGUGGGAAAAUGGAGGAUCUGGGGACCUCACGCUCUCGGAUUAGCCUAGGUCGGAUUAGCUAGUAGGUGGGGUAACGGCUCACCCAGGCGACGGUCCGUAACUCUUCUUAGAGGAUGACCAGCCAACUUGGAACGGAGACACGGUCCAGACUCCAACGGGAGGCAGAAGUGGGGAAUAUUGAACAAUGGGCGCAAGCCUGAUGCAGCCAGGCCGGGGGUAUGAAGAAGUCCUUCGGGUUGUAAAGUACUUUCAGCGGGGAGAAAGGGAGUAAGGUUAAUACCUUUGCUCAUUGACGUUACCCGCAGAAGAAGCACCGGCUAACUCCGU
rnacentral:rRNA from 1 species